rnacentral:rRNA from 1 species
AGUGAACGCUGGCGGUAGGCCUAACACAUGCAAGUCGAACGGCAGCACAGUAAGAGCUUGCUCUUACGGGUGGCGAGUGGCGGACGGGUGAGGAAUACAUCGGAAUCUAAUUUUUCGGGGGGGAUAACGUAGGGAAACUUACGAUAAUACCGCAUACGACCUACGGGUGAAAGCAGGGGAUCUUCGGACCUUGCGCGAUUGAAUGAGCCGAUGUCGGAUUAGCUAGUUGGCGGGGUAAAGGCACACCAAGGCGACGAUCCGUAGCUGGCCUGAGAGGAUGAUCAGCCACACUGGAACUGAGACACGGUCCAGACUCCUACGGGAGGCAGCAGUGGGGAAUAUUGGACAAUGGGCGCAAGCCUGAUCCAGCCAUACCGCGUGGGUGAAGAAGGCCUUCGGGUUGUAAAGCCCUUUUGUUGGGAAAGAAAAGCAGCAGGUUAAUACCCCGCUGUUCUGACGGUACCCAAAGAAUAAGCACCGGCUAACUUCGUG